rnacentral:rRNA from 1 species
CAGAUUAGCUAGUUGGUGAGGUAAAGGCUCACCAAGGCGACGAUCUGUAGCGGGUCUGAGAGGAUGAUCCGCCACACUGGAACUGAGACACGGUCCAGACUCCUACGGGAGGCAGCAGUGGGGAAUUUUGGACAAUGGGCGCAAGCCUGAUCCAGCCAUGCCGCGUGAGUGAAGAAGGCCUUCGGGUUGUAAAGCUCUUUCGGCCGGGAAGAAAUCGUAUGGGUUAAUACCCUGUGCGGAUGACGGUACCGGCAUAAGAAGCACCGGCUAACUACGUG